rnacentral:rRNA from 1 species
UACAGAGACUGCAAGCGUUAUUCGGAUUCACUGGGCGUAAAGGGUGCGCAGGCGGUUGGGUGUGUCAGAUGUGAAAUCCCGAGGCUUAACCUCGGAACUGCGUCUGAAACUACUCGACUAGAGUACUGGAGAGGGAAACGGAAUUCACGGUGUAGCAGUGAAAUGCGUAGAUAUCGUGAGGAACACCAGAGGCGAAGUCGGUUUCCUGGACAGUUACUGACGCUCAGGCACGAAAGCAUGGGGAGCAAAAGGG